rnacentral:rRNA from 1 species
GUAAACGGCGGCCGUAACUAUAACGGUCCUAAGGUAGCGAAAUUCCUUGUCGGGUAAGUUCCGACCCGCACGAAAGGUGUAACGACUUGCGCACUGUCUCAACGAGGGACCCGGUGAAAUUGAAGUACCUGUGAAGAUGCAGGUUACCCGCGACUGGACAGAAAGACCCCAUGGAGCUUUACUGUAACCUGAGAUUGGAUUCCGGUAAGAGAUGUACAGGAUAGUUGGGAGGCUGAGAAGUGAGUACGCCAGUAUUCACGGAGCCGCUGGUGGGAUACCAACCUUGUUUUAUUGGAAUUCUAACGAGAAGCGUAACGAGCUUGCGGACAGUCUCAGGCGGGCAGUUUGACUGGGGCGGUCGCCUCCGAAAGAGUAACGGAGGCGCCCAAAGGUUCCCUCAGCGCGGACGGAAACCGCGCGAAGAGUGCAAAGGCAGAAGGGAGCUUGACUGCGAGACGGACAGGUCGAGCAGGGACGAAAGUCGGGCUUAGUGAUCCGGUGGUAGAGAGUGGAAUUGCCAUCGCUCAACGGAUAAAAGCUACCCUGGGGAUAACAGGCUUAUCUCUCCCAAGAGUCCAUAUCGACGGGGAGGUUUGGCACCUCGAUGUCGGCUCAUCACAUCCUGGGGCUGAAGUAGGUCCCAAGGGUUGGGCUGUUCGCCCAUUAAAGUGGUACGCGAGCUGGGUUCAGAACGUCGUGAGACAGUUCGGUCCCUAUCCAUCGCGGGCGUAAGAAACUUGAAAGGGGCUGCUCCUAGUACGAGAGGACCGGAGUGGACCGACCAAUGGUGUACCAGUCAUGGCGCCAGCCGUGCAGCUGGGUAGCUACGUCGGGGACGGAUAAACGCUGAAAGCAUCUAAGCGUGAAACCAGCCUAGAGAUGAGGUUUCUCAUUGUUUUAACAAGUAAGGUCCCACAAAGACGAUGUGGUUGAUAGGCCGGGAGUGGAAGUACAGCGAUGUACGGAGCGGACCGGUACUAAUAGACCGAGGACUUGACUUA